rnacentral:rRNA from 1 species
UACGGAGGGUGCAAGCGUUAAUCGGAAUCACUGGGCGUAAAGCGCGCGUAGGUGGCUAUUUAAGUCAGAUGUGAAAGCCCUGGGCUCGACCUGGGAAUGGCAUUUGAUACUGGAUAGCUAGAGUAUGGUAGAGGUGAGUGGAAUUUCAGGUGUAGCGGUGAAAUGCGUAGAGAUCUGAAGGAACAUCAGUGGCGAAGGCGACUCACUGGACCAUUACUGACGCUGAGGCACGAAAGCUAGGGGAGCAAACAGG